rnacentral:rRNA from 1 species
ACUCAAAGGAAUUGACGGGGGCCCGCACAAGCGGUGGAGCAUGUGGAUUAAUUCGUCACUAACCGAAGAACCUUACCCAGAUUUGACAUCGCGUGAAAAGCUGUGAAAGCAGUUCCCCUCGCAAGAGGCACAAAGACAGGUGUUGCAUGGCUGUCGUCAGCUCGUGUCGUGAGAUGUUGGGUUAAGUCCCGCAACGAGCGCAACCCCCACCGUAUGUUGGCAGCGUUAAGUCGGCCACUCUUACGGAACUGCCUAUGCAAGUAGGAGGAAGGUGGGGACGACGUCAAGUCGGCAUGGCCCUUACAUCUGGGGCUUCACACAUGCUACAAUGGGCAGCACAAAGCGUACCGAAACCGUGAGGUUGUGGCAAUCGCAAAAAUCUGUCCUCAGUUCGGAUUGUAGGCUGCAACUCGCCUACAUGAAGCUGGAAUCGCUAGUAACCGCAGGUCAGCGAAACUGCGGUGAAUACGUUCCCGGGCCUUGCACACACCGCCCGU